rnacentral:rRNA from 1 species
GACGAACGCUGGCGGCGUGCUUAACACAUGCAAGUCGAACGGAAAGGCCCUGCUUGCAGGGUGCUCGCGUGGCGAACGGGUGAGUAACACGUGGGUGAUCUGCCCCUUACUUUGGGAUAAGCCUUGGAAACUGGGUCUAAUACUGGAUAGAGGCAUGCUGUCGGCGGGGUGGUGGAAAGAUUGGUUUCGGUGGGGGGUGAGCUCGCGGCCUAUCAGCUUGUUGGUGGGGUAAUGGGCUACCAAGGCGUCGACGGGUAGCCGGCCGGCGAGGGUGGUCGGCGACAUUGGGGCUGCGGUACGGCCCCGACGCCUACGGGGGGCAGCAGUGGGGAAGAUUGUAGCAUGGGGGCAAGCCUGAUGCAGCGACGCCGCGUGGGGGAUGACGGCCUUCGGGUUGUAGACUACUGCCAGCCAUGACGAAGCCCUGGUGGUGACGGUAGUGGUAGAAGAAGCACCGGCUAACUACGUG